rnacentral:lncRNA from 1 species
CACAUGACCAUUAUAUUUUCAUUUUUCAAAUAAAAGAAACAGUUGGACCAUAUUACAUCUAGAGUCCAAUCCUGAAAAGCCAAGCACUGCAUGACUUUAUUAGUAAUGGGGGCAUAAAGAGAGAAGCGGGAGAAGCAAUGUGCAAAAUCCCAGCCUUAGCAAAAUCACUACCUUUCUCCUAAUGAGCUUGAAGAGGUUUUAAUUUCAGAAAUUGAAACUGACUGUCACUUGAGCAAUCUGAUAAUAUGUAAACUGGAUGCAACUAUUUCAUGUUAAAUCUAAGCCAUAUAUAAAAAUUGUUUGAGAAAUGAUGUGGCAAUCUUUCAGGACUGUCAUUUUUAUAACAGCUUGCAAAUAAAUAUACAUUUUUCUGAGACUCCUAGCAUGAUUUGUUCAUGCUGAACAUUAUUUUUUUCAGGAGUGGGAGAGACAAUUCUUGUUUUUCCAGUUGUUGUGAGGGUGUCUGAACGUGGCCCUGUGGAAUUUCAAAGCAAAUCCAGAUGGAUUAAAUAAAGGAAGCUUCUGAAAUGCAGACUGACCAGGGAAAAAUGAACAAGGGAGAAAUCAAUUUGGAUUAUCAGACUGAAACUAAAGAUAUCUAUGGACAUAUGAAACAGUAAAAGACAAUUAGAAAAUGUAUUUAUACUAAAUUAAAACUUUAUUGACUAAUGUUCUCCAGACAACAUGAUCUGACAAACUAUGGUUGCAUACAUGCAAUGAAGUUGAAGACAACAGUAGUUUAACAUGGAAUGUCAAACAAAUUAAUAUAAUGUAUUAAAUGAAACAAUUUAUCUGUGUUGCUGCAAAAUGAAACCAAGUUAUGUAUUUCCUUGGUCAAUCUGUGUUCAGCUAAGAGGCUAUGCAUUUGAAGAAACUGCAAAAGCCAUUUAGGCAUAUUUUAUUAUUAAUCCAGCACAAAGCACUUCUUCUAAGUUUCUCACAUAAAAGACUAAAGCUUGCUUACAGUACUACAUCUUCUAUCAUUCAAGCAUCAUUAUUACCUAUCAGGGAGAUUGGCUAGAUGACCUAAUGGGUCUUUUCCACCCCUAACUUCUACAAAAGAAAAUCAUUCAUGCCAGCAAGAACAUGGUUCGCUACAUCGUGGGCUUGAUCCUGCAGAUUUGUUGAGGCAAAACUCCCAACAACUUGAAAGAGAGAUUUUCCAGAGCAAGACAUCCAGGAUUAGGCCCUUUCGAUUUAUUUUUAUUUUAUUUUUAAAAGAGCAUCCAUUUAGGAUACAUGGAAAAUAGUUUAU